UUUACUUUUUGCCCUUAAUCUUUCCAUCGAAGAACAGUCACAAGAAAUUUAUAUCUUUGGUUUCAUAAACUCAUUCCUUAAAGAGGAGAACUUUAACCCUAGUUGAAGGCACCAAGAGUACAUCAUGGAACACAAUAAACCCAUUUAUUUAACAGAAAAUGUGAUACCACAAAAAGCCAAACUGUUAAGUAUAUGAAUUGCUCUUCAUAAUGCUUUUGUACUAUUGAGUUGCAUUUUUCUUUCCUUUCUUGGUUACAAGUCAAGGCAUGCACACCAUUUCCUUUUAUUCAUCUUAUUAACCAUUAUUCUUGUUGGUUCUCAAUUGAGUUGGGGAAACUAAUUAUUGGCUUGCUAUGCGGAACUUUUUGCACGCUAAAGCAUGAAAAGAUUACUUCAAGACCGCCUAAGAAGAGCAUAAAUUUAACUCAC
rnacentral:misc_RNA from 1 species